UGGCCUUCGGGUCCGCAUUGUAAUUUGUAGAGGAUGCUUUGGGUGAAACGCCAGUCUAAGUUCCUUGGAACAGGACGUCAUAGAGGGUGAGAAUCCCGUAUGUGACUGGAAAUGUUAACCUAUGUAAAGCUCCUUCGACGAGUCGAGUUGUUUGGGAAUGCAGCUCUAAAUGGGAGGUAAAUUUCUUCUAAAGCUAAAUAUUGGCGAGAGACCGAUAGCGCACAAGUAGAGUGAUCGAAAGAUGAAAAGCACUUUGGAAAGAGAGUUAAAAAGCACGUGAAAUUGUUGAAAGGGAAGCGCUUGCAAUCAGACUUGUUUAAACUGUUCGGCCGGUCUUCUGACCGGUUUACUCAGUUUGGACAGGCCAGCAUCAGUUUCGGCGGCCGGAUAAAGGCUCUGGGAAUGUGGCCUUCACUUCGGUGAAGGUGUUAUAGCCCAGGGUGUAAUACGGCCAGCCGGGACUGAGGUCCGCGCUUCGGCUAGGAUGCUGGCGUAAUGGUUGUAAGCGACC
rnacentral:rRNA from 1 species